rnacentral:rRNA from 1 species
CAGCAGUAGCCGCGGGAAUACAGAGGGUGCGAGCGUUAAUCGGAUUUACUGGGCGUAAAGCGUGCGUAGGCGGCUAAUUGAGUCGGAUGUGAAAUCCCCGAGCUUAACUUGGGAAUUGCAUUCGAUACUGGUUAGCUAGAGUGUGGGAGAGGAUGGUAGAAUUCCAGGUGUAGCGGUGAAAUGCGUAGAGAUCUGGAGGAAUACCGAUGGCGAAGGCAGCCAUCUGGCCUAACACUGACGCUGAGGUACGAAAGCAUGGGGAGCAAACAGGAUUAGAUACCCCUGUAGUCCCUGUCUCUUAUAC